GAAAUGCGAUAAGUAAUGUGAAUUGCAGAAUUCAGUGAAUCAUCGAAUCUUUGAACGCAAAUUGCACUCUUUGGUAUUCCGAAGAGUAUGCCUGUUUGAGUGUCAUGAAAACCUCAACUCCAAGUUUGGUUAAUCCAAGCUUGGAUGUUGGAUGUGGGCGUUUGUCAAUGAUGAAUUGACUUGCCUUAAAAAUGUGAGCUGGAUUAGUCUUUGCACUGGUUCCCCUAGGCGUAAUAAGUAUUUCGCUUAGGACACAAGUUCGCUUGUGGCCAGGACUUUGACAAUAGUCUGCUUUCUAUACCCCAUACGCACUUGUGUGUAUAUUCUUGACAUCUGGCCUCAAAUCAGGUAGGACUACCCGCUGAACUUAA
rnacentral:misc_RNA from 1 species